CAGCCGCCGCGGUAAUACGGAGGGGGCUAGCGUUGUUCGGAAUUACUGGGCGUAAAGCGCACGUAGGCGGCUUUGUAAGUUAGAGGUGAAAGCCCGGGGCUCAACCCCGGAAUUGCCUUUAAGACUGCAGCGCUAGCAGGUGAGAGAGGUGAGUGGAAUUCCGAGUGUAGAGGUGAAAUUCGUAGAUAUUCGGAAGAACACCAGUGGCGAAGGCGGCUCACUGGCUCAUACUGGACGCUGAGGUGCGAAAGCGUGGGGAGCAAACAGGAUUAGAUACCCGUGUAGUCCCUGUCUCUUAUAC
rnacentral:rRNA from 1 species